GCCAACACACUUGCGAGGAAAAAUUAGUCCAAUUAGUUGUGUCAGACCUCUCAAUAAAUAAGCCCUUCUAACAUCUGAUUGAAUAUUAGGACGAAAUCUUUCAAUUGACAUUCUAAGAGCUGGAUCAGCUACAAGAUGAACAUGCGGGUCAAAUUCCGUGAUGAGGCUAAUACCUUCACCUUCUUGCUGUUCUUCUUCUUGUGGCCGUUGUUGUGGUUUCUGCUGGCUGUGCAUCAUCAACACCAAUAUCAACUUGUGCUAAAUCUGUUGCUACAUUCUACAUAGCUUCAUUUUCUUGAACAACUUCUCCCACCGUUGAAGUAGUGGCGAUGCCACUUUCACGGGUGCUUGGGCGGCUGCAACUUGAAUUUGAACCAACACUCAAAGUUGUAAAAUAAUUCUUCAAGUCUCCACAAACGUUACUUGUCAAAUUAGCAUACU
rnacentral:lncRNA from 1 species